GGCAGCAAAAAAACUGGAGCCAGCCCUGUGCAGAGGGCCUUCACGAAGGCUUAAGUGGGAAUUAAUUGAUGCAUGGACUUUGUGCUGGCUCUGAGCACACAGAGGAGAAGCCCAAAUAUAUUUCUGAACCUUCCCUUAUAAAAGUAAUAAUCAGUGGACAUGUUGCAAGAAAACUGUGCUUACGUAAGACAAAACAUUAAAUAAUAGGAACUAUGGUCCUUAGCUUGGAAUUAUCUGGAAUGAAUUUUACUGUAAGCACAAAGAACACUUCUGAUGUCAUCAACCAAAACCGGGGUUCUCCUGUUAUUGCAUGGACAUGGACACAUUUUUAAAGAAUUAUUUUGAAUUUUCCAUCUACAGUCAGCUACAGUCCCAAUUCUCUGAAGGUGCAAAACAGAUCUGUAGCUGCAACUUCAAAUGUGGUGCACUAUUGGA